UCGGGAAUUUUGGGCAAUGGGCGAAAGCCUGACCCAGCAACGCCGCGUGAAGGAUGAAGUAUUUCGGUAUGUAAACUUCGAAAGAAUAGGAAGAAUAAAUGACGGUACUAUUUAUAAGCUCCGGCUAACUACGUGCCAGCAGCCGCGGUAAUACGUAGGGAGCAAGCGUUGUUCGGAUUUACUGGGCGUAAAGGGCGCGUAGGCGGCGCGGUAAGUCACUUGUGAAAUCUCUGAGCUUAACUCAGAACGGCCAAGUGAUACUGCAGAGCUAGGGUGCAGAAAGGGCAAUCGGAAUUCUUGGUGUAGCGGUGAAAUGCGUAGAUAUCAAGGGGAACACCUGAGGCGAAGGCGGGUUGCUAGGCUGACACUUACGCUGAGGCGCGAAAGCCAGGGGAGCAA
rnacentral:rRNA from 1 species